rnacentral:tRNA from 2 species
GGACUGAUAGCUUAGACGGUAAAGCGGCGGUUUGAAGAACCGUAGACAAGGAUUCGAGCGCCUUUCAGUCCA